ensembl:lincRNA
GUUCCUCCCUUGAAGAACUGAAACAUUUCCUUAAACUGACAGAGAGUCUACCCCAGGAAUGUCUACCUUUGGGCAAUGAGCACCGAGAUACCUGCAAUUCCUCAGCAUCACUAUGGAGCAGGUAUUGGGCUCAGUGAUGAAAAGAUGGCAAUAGCUGGAAAGCCACCCACCUGUUGACAUGGAGCUCAGAGUCUGAUGUGAGAGGUAGAUCAUGAAGGAGGAAAGAAGCAGCAUGACGAAAGCAGAUGAUGAAGAUUAUGAAAGAAACAGGCACAGCGUUUGGCAAAGAGUGACUGAGCCUGAAGUCAUGAGUACCCACUUAGCCAGGAUAGUCACAGAAGGCCUGCAGAGAUGAGACACGAAAUAAGAUCAAAGGGCAUGAAAAGCCAGUCUUUACAAAACAAAAACAAAGCCCAAAAAAAAAAAAAAAAAAAAGGAGUUUCAGGCAAAAAGAACUGUGCAAAGGUCCUGAGGCAACAAGGCUCCUCUGAGAAGUCAGAGACAGCCAGUGCAGGCGGAGCCAAGGUCAAGGGGAAGAAGGUCGCGACACAGGCCACAGAGAUGAAGAACUAAAGCACAGAUGAUAAGCAGCCUGCAAUGGAGGACUGUGCCGACACCUGCAUGGGGACUUCUGCAGGGGCCAGG